rnacentral:lncRNA from 1 species
CUUCCCCGACUACCGGAGCUCGCAGCCCGCUCCUCCCUCCGCCAUUGCCGCUGUCGGCCACCACUCCAAACCGGCUGCCCGGUGAACCUCUCCAUCUGUUCUUUUCCUCGCCAGAGUGCCUGUGGCCGCGGGUCCCCGGUGAACCUCUCCAUCUGUUCUUUUCCUCGCCAGAGUGCCUGUGGCCGCGGGUCCCCUAGUCCGGCCGUCGCCAGUGCUCUCUGCCUUCGCACAUCGCCGUCGUCUCAGUCUCUCCCUGGCACUGCUGUGGCACUUGGUGGAUGCGACCCGUCUCCUCGAGCCCGCCCAUGGCUUCUCCCUGGCCGGAGACCGCCGUCACCGGCUGGUCCGUCGCCGGCUGUGCGCCCUCCCCUGCCCUGCUCUGUUCUCUAUUGGGGCGCAGCGAGGCGCAAGAAGGAGCCAGGCUAGGCGGGCCCCUCCUCCCCAGCAACCCCACGUGUUAGCGAGUGGACCCCCAGACCACGUUAGUAACUGGAAGCGGUUUUACAUAAAUACGUUUUUCCCUUUAGAAAACAAACUUGGGUGAAGCUUCAGGCAAAAGUGCGCUUUCACUUCUUUAAAAGCGUACUUUGAAUCCACUGCGGCUUAAAAGGCGCUUUCUUUUGCAGAAAACGUAUUCAGCCGGAGGCGCUUUCUGUUUCAACCUCCAAGGGCCUGUGUGUGAAUACAACUUUUACAAAUUGCUCCUUGUUCUUCAAACACUCGUAUCUCAGCAACCCUAACUCUAAAUGAGGUGAUUCCAAAGCCCACAUCUUCGUCUCGUCAAGCCAUGUGUAUUGGUACCAUUUUCACUAUGUUUUCACAUUGGAAAUGACCAUUUUGCCCUUGCCCUUAUCUAGCCCCCUCCGAGAGGGAAUCUUUUCCGACGAAUCAUUCUGCGAAUUCACCGCACUUCUUCUUGGAGUAUUCUUCAUCCCCAAGCAAGCCACGGCAACCAUUUGCAUGAGAGCCUUGCAGUAGUAUUUGUUUUCUACUUGAACAAUAAAAUAUUUUGUGCAUUCUACUAUUUUGUGAGUGCUUUAUUUAUGCUUGUGAAUACAUGCUUAUCUUUAUGCCAUGAUCAUUUUCACCUAUUGGGUUAAAUGAGUACUUGCUAAUAUUAUCAUGCUCUAUUCUGGUAUUUAUUGUUGAUACUAGUGGUCAUGCCAUGCUCAUGUGUAGUGUUAUACUUGUGCUCGGUAUGCCAUGCUCAUCUUCAGCUAGUAGAGUAAAUAAUUUAUUGUUUUUGACAUGUUAAACGGUUAUGCUUCCCAUCCAUGCUUAUGUUGAUAUCAUGCUCAUGUGCAUUAUUAUUUCAUCAUAUUAUUAUGGCUCAGCUAUUUAGUUUUCAUGCUUAACCAGACUUUAAUCAAACUUGAACACCUGUUGGCUGAGUCAUAGUGCCAUGGAAUCGAGCUGACCAGUGUAGCCACACUUGCCUUAUGGGGGUCCUAACUGGGUCUAUUGUCACGCCUCUUGCCGGUGCCUCCAACUAGGGAACGUUAUGGGCGCGCGCUACCCUGAUCAGGUAGGCGGACAUAAGCCUUGUGUGCCCGUGUUGGUUUGAGCGCUCUUGUCCCGUUUGGGACCGUUUUUGUUUUGCCACGACGGUGGCCGUUGGAUGUCAUGAGGUGACAUUGGGGCCACCCAUGACUUAGCCCAAAGGGGAGUUUGUCGGAGUGGCCGGGAGAGUGUCAUGGUAGUAGAUCGGUUUUGUCGGAACAUCGUUGGUCCACCCGAAUGGGAGCACGAGGCCUUGGGUUCUGUAGUGUGGGUACAAUGUGCUAACCUCUGCAGAGUGUGUUUAAAUCUAUCGAUAACCGCACCCGCGGAUAUGGGCCCAGUUCGUAGUAGGUCACACUAUGGGUCAAUAGAAAUAAUAACCUGCUUAAUUAUAACCCUGGUUCAAUGAGGAAAGAAGUUGGUUGAUCUUUAUGUGAUCAUGAGAGGAUCACAGUGGUAUCGUGGAUACCGAAUCUGGUUGAUGUUUGUGGUGCUAUGCGGUAAUCACGGGUAAGGAUCAAGCUCCUUGUGGUCAUGUAAUGAUUACUAUGGUAUUGUUAAUACCAAACUUUAUUUGAUCCUAAGUUGAUCAUGUGAUGUCCAUGAUGGUAAGUGGUAUAUGUGGUGGUUACGAGGUAACCCCGAACAGAGUAAGUGGAUCAUCUUGUGCAUAUCAUGAGUAACCUUGCCAUGCUCAUUUCAUGUGAUGCUAGAUGUGUUAUGUUCAACAUGUUCAUGCCAUGCUCAUCUGAUAUUGUUCUAGUGGUAUCUUGUUCGCCAUGUACAUGCCAUGUUGUAUCAUGCUCAUCAAUGUUAAACCUGUAAAUGCCAUGAUGUUGUUUGUCUUGAUUGCUUUUGGUUGCUGUGAGCUUGAAAGUACAUUCAAUGUACUGACCUGGCAUGUCAUGCCAGAUUGCAGGUGAUGCCGUGAUUGAUUGCUUGUUGAGGUUACCGUUCGUGCAAGCCAGAUCACGUUCCAGCAAGAGUCCUUGCGGAGUGGAGUCCAUCACUGGUGUCGUUGUUCCAUUGCUACAAGAUAUUCUGUUGCUUCGGGUUCUUCUGCUACUAACAUAGAGCAACCUGAGCAGGCGUAGGGUCUCCAUGCCGAUGUCAUUUGUUGUGAUAUCGGAACCCUUGUAACCGUAUCAUUUGUAACAAAAAGUUGUUUUGUUCUUUGCCAAGCAGUG